rnacentral:lncRNA from 1 species
CUCGGACCACUGGUUAUCAGUGGGGAUGGAUGCACCAUUCAGAUCAUGAACUGGGAGAGCAGCACGAGACCACAGAAGUGGAUGAAGAGCUUCAUCAAGGCAGAACCAUUCACUUUUCAUUCCAUCUCUGAUGCAGAGAACAGAGCUCCAGGGAGGAGCGCAAGGCGCUGGUCCAGCAGCAACAGUCACAAGAAACAUGCAGACCAACCUGAGAGCAACACUUCUCUCAGAGAACAGAUCAAAGCUUGCAUGCCCAGAUGGUGCCUACCCAGUGCUCUGCAGCAGCAUUAGUAGUUAAUUCCUGCUGGGAAUCCAUGAUUUCAUGAAGACAUGAGCACUGAGCACCUCAGUUAAAGCUAAGAGUUCUCCAGGUUGAUUGAUUCCCUCCACCCCUCCAUCCUCAUCCCCCAGUUCCUGAGACAAAGCAUGCAAAACUGGCCAAUGUCCUGGAAAAAUUAGGCACAAGGUUGCGAAGGAGAUCAACGGUAAAAUUAGGAAUAAACCCCAACUAACUCAUUUACUUAAGCCACAUGAAUACAAAUAUCAAACAAGAGUAUCUAAAACAUCAACAAAUUAUGAUAAGUAGCUAAAACACAGAAGUUGUCAUCACCAUGUCUGGACAGAAUUUUGACAAGUCCUCAGAUAAAUCUUCUCCAUCUCCUUUUUCCACAGACAGUUGAUAUUUUGAACAGAAAUUCUCAAGUCAAAAGAUGUACAUCAAUUUUUAGUUCUUGCAAAAAAAAAAAAAGAAAGAAAAAAAACCACCAAAAAACUAGACACACAAAGCACAUGCUUUUCACUGAAGGCUCUUUACAUAAAAACCUAUUCUUUUAUCAUGAAGUGAGUUCAUAAAUUGUCCAGCUACUUUUACAUGAUAUGGUUCCCAGUGGAGACCAACUACAGGUGCAUGUCAGCAUCUGUUCAUGUGACAGUGUACAAACUAAGCUAGACAGUUCCACCAAGCGUUACAGAGGGAUCGGCUUCAAAGUUCAGCUUUAAAAAAGUGUGUGCUGUAAUAAAAUAAGAAAUAUCAGUUACGUAAGUAAAGAAGCUUGUAUGUAGCAUUUAAUCCCAUAAACUGAGGUCUCAGUGCUGUACUAAAGUGACUUUCUGCCAUGCCCAAACUCAAUUGCAUCUUUAAGAAAAUCAGAAAACAGCUCAAAGGGAACCAGAGGGAACCCUUGGAAUGUGUUUCAGAGGAUCUGAGAGGCACAGAAGACCUAACUUCCACAAAUGGUCGAUGCAGCUGAUCUCAAGGCAGAUAUGUAUUAUUUAAUAGAGAUAGGGGGCAUGUACUCAGCAAAACAAUACCCACCAGGAGCAGGAUUCCACUGGGUAGUACAAAAGUGGCAAUGUUGAGAAAGUCCAUGCUGCCCAUGGGAUGCGUAAUGGUGCUGCUGUGAGUGAGAGCAGAGCCCUAGGGAAAGCUCCAUCCUAACUCAGAAGCUGCUGCCAUCACAGGUGGAAAGAGGAAAUUAAAAGCAGGCAGCAAAAGAUGGAAGCAGGUUUUGACCUCAAAAGAAAGAUAAAUGUGUUGAAGUAGCGUUCUUCUCAUGGCCGAUGGCUUAAGUGGGGAUCUGCCAAGUCUGAUAUGCAUGCAGCAGUGACCAGUUGCUGUGGUAGAGAGGUGAAUGAUAACUGGUCUGGUCAAUACAAACUCAAAAUAACAACAGAGAAGUGGCUUUUUAAAAUCCCCUGUGUAAUUAAUUUUUUUUUUUUUUAAUUAUAAUCUUUUAACGUUCCUUCACUUCUUCAAAUACACUUGAGAAAAGGAACAGCAUUGUAUUCUGUUGUGUGUUUAAGCACAGUUUCAUACUAAAGGCAGAAAAGUUGCACGGCAAUGAAACUGCCAAGAAAAAUAUAACGUUUAAAUAAUGGCCCCACUUAAGACAACAAGGAUGAUAGGGCAGCCCGAGUUCAAAGAAUUUAUUCCAGGUAAUUCAGUGCAGCAGCCUGAGAGGUCUAGGGCGCAGUGCUAGGAAUCUAAGUGGUCUGAAAUCACUCCCAAAGCAGUCUGCUUAGCAUUUGUUUAGGAAGCCUGGGCAAUAAGUUACAGCACUGUGUCAUUGCAUAAUCGUGCAUGCAAGCCCAGCACACCCAAGGUGAGUAAAUGCAACAGGAUGACCUCCAGGCAGGGCAUUUCUGCAACACAAACAAGUGAGUUGCAAGUCUCAAACUAAGAAAAACAUUUUAUAUUUUACAAUUGUAUUGUGGGACUAUUACAUGCUGUGGUUGAGAUAAUAAAGAAGACACUGUAGCAGUCUUUAGAAAGAGAAGCAUAUAAUGUUGUUUUCCUUUUUAAACGUGUGCCAAAAGUCACAUUUCUUAUUAGCACAAUCUUGCAAUAAACUUGUUUUAACAAAUUAAGUAAAAUAUAUUGAAGCAGUACCUUUAUUCCAAACGUUGUAUAUAGAAGUCCAACCAAUGAAUGAGACGAUGUGAUCAGUGACCCCAUCUGCAGGUCUUUGAAGGGAUAAAGAUCAGCUUUUGACAAUCAUUGCUGCUUGUGCAGCUUCAGGGAGAACAUUUUCUUCACAUCAAUUUAUGUUUCCUUCCCUUCAGUUCUACAGCUGAUUGAGUCAGCUGCAGACACUGAUGAGCUGAGGCACAGGAAUGUUUGUUUUUUCUCUUCCAAAUGAUGAGGGCAGACCAACAUUAAAGCGUGAUCCACUACUUCUGAAUCCUCAAGGGACAAAUGGUGACAAAACCAUCAGACUGAUUAACUUGGGGCAUUUUUCCAUUGUCAAUAAUUUAUCAAGUUUUAAAACAUCAGAUAUGCUUUACUUUCAUUUUUGAUACAUGGAACAAGUUUCACACAGCCUGAGUUAGCAAAUAAAAUGCCUCCUUAAGGCAGUAGUUUGUAAUUUUGCUUGAAUUGCAAUUUUCAUCCAAAAGCCGUUUGUCACAAAUGAAAAACGUCAUCACAGUAAUUGGAAAAAUCAAACCCCAUAUCCUAAGAUGAUGCAGGGCAAACAGGGACAGAUAGAAGUCCCAGUGUUAAUGGGAAGAUGAUAGAGGCCCUGCAGUUUUCAUGAGUCCCGGUGAUUGAAAUCACUGUGAGUAGCAUCCUUCUAGGCUCAGUCCCCCAGAACUUAAAUCUUGUAAAGCCAACUAUGAGAUGAUUUAUUAAGGCAGGUCUAUUGCCUCUUAGUAUCUUCUGUACAGAGCUAGAUACCUUUUUAAUGAGCGUUAAGCUAUACUAUUUACAGGUAUAGGCAACGCAUGAUCUGUCUGUUUCUCACAAACAAGUACUGGUGUCCUUGUCCCACUGGUGAACAGUGAGACUGAAACCCUCCAUAGGAGCAUGACUUCAUACUACUAACGCAGAACGAGCUUUAAAACAUCUGAUUUAAAUCAAGACUAAGAGGCCUGACGGUUUAAAUCACUUUUGAUGCAAUUAAUUUUCAUAAUUAAAGAAGAAAAAAAUGGGGAGAGAAAGAAAGUACAAAAAUUGCCACAGAGAUCAGAAGUCUAUUCUACCGGUAUGUACACAGGAGAUGGAUCUUCAGAUUGCAUCCAGCCAGGAAAACUGAUCCAUCAUGACUCUUGCCCUUUGCAUCACCCUGUGUGCUGGAGCCUGGGCAGUCACGUACAUCAGCUGUGUGCCACCACCUUUAUCAUAUGUCACCCAAAGAGCUCAGAGGUGAUUCCAGCUGCCCUCCAGAACUCAGCCCAGCCUGCAAUACCUGUUGUGGCUCAUCCCAUAACCUACCCAGAAAAUGGGAAGAUAAGGGAUGGAUAAUUUCCAAGGGCCAGCGAAAACAAAAUUACUAUUUGUUUCCACAUGUUACAAACAAGCUACUGCUUCCCCAACACAGUAGUGUGGGAUACUGUUACAGACAAGUCUUCUUGCUGGGUACCCUUAAAGGGACACCAUAUUUAGAAUCACUUAUACUCCCAGCCCUUCCUUCCAUUGUCGUGGUCUGUUGAUCAGUACCUGCUCAUAUCUCUCUGGGGUACAGGUGCCUUUCAGAACAUAAAGAGUACAUUAGUCCUGCAUUACAGUGUGUUCACCAUCAUGAUUUUUACUUCUAGUCAUGUUGAAUUUUCUUACCAGAUCUAAAGUAGAAGUCUAUCAUACCAUCAAGCGAGAGUCAAUGUUCCAGAGAGAAUUCUGGUUUUAAAUAUGUUCUCAGAGUCCACAGACAACUAGAAAACAAAAUAUUUGAAAUAAAUAUAUUUCACAUGCUUUAAAAUGUAAGUACUAUAUAUUUAUAUUGCUGUCUACAAGCCUGGUCAGCCCAUGUUCAUCAUGGCAUACCAUAGCUGUGGGUUCUCAACAGGAAGGAAAGCGCCUAUGGAAGUCAGUGGAGAUGCACUGGCAUGCAACAGAGCACUGGCACAGGCUGCCCAGAGAGGCUGUGGGGUCUCCUCCUUGGACUUCUUCAAAAGCCACCAGGAGGUGGGCCUGGGCACUCUGAUCUGGGUGCCCUGCUGGGCAGUGGUUGGACCGGAUGGACCCAGAGGUGCCUUCCCUCCUCUUCCUGUCCAUGACUCUGUGAUGCAUCUCCACCAGAUGCCAAAACUCACAGAGAAGAACAUGAAUGCAAACCAUCAGAGAUACUGCAUCCACAGAAAUGCAGUCAAAAGAAAAUAAAUCAGUUUGCACAAAAAAUAGCAUAUUUUCUAUUUUGCCAUAAAACAGAUGAAGAUGUUCCCCAUGUGAGCUGGAAAUCUGCCCUACAGCACUCCCUGCCAUCUCCAGGUGACACAGCAGAGCACAGGCCACUCUCUAACCCUAAAAACAAAAUUUUAAUAACAUUAAUUAAAGAAUAAGGGUCAUGGUAUGGAACUGAGCACCACUGAUUCUGCUGGCCCUGCAUGGCCUGCUGGGAGCAAAAAUCCCCAGGCUUCAAAUACAACCCCCACAUUAAAAGAAAAAAAAACAAAAACCAACAGAUGACAGAGUUUACAGAAAUGUUAGCAGACAUUUCCCUGUAUGCAGAUUAUUUCUAAAGGGUCAUACUUAGAGAAAAUAGUAAGGAAUGGCAAAAAAAAAACCAACAAAACCCAACUAAACAAAGCAGACUCUCCCAGUGUUAUUGACACACUAAAUCGCAGUCCUGCAAAGACUUAGAGUUGCAGUUUACCUCUGCAAACCGCGCUUUCCAAACUGCCUGCGUUCUUCCCAAAUCUGCAGUCAGUAGUUCCUGUUGGCAGGUCUCCAGCAGCCCCUGAGUUCAGAAGGGUCUCGGUUUUACUACCGACUCGUCACCAGCUGAAACUUUAGGCCAUAUGAAUGGGGCCCCAUCUGACAGCCUUAUUAACACAAAUGAUUUUUAUUCUGCAUGCCUGGGUAAGCCAUGGGCACAUGCCUGCAAGAUCAAGGCCUUGGUCAUUAAUAACUUGGGCAGUCCUUUCACCUAGAAGCCACACUUCGUCUACAAAGAAAUCUUUCCGGGAAUCUUGAAAAAAGAUUGAUGAAAAUUAAACAUCUACUUAGUGAAGCUGAAGUAACCAAUACAUGAUUAAUACUUUCCAAUUAUAUUUCAGUACAGUACAUUGCUGAGUUUGUUAUUACCUGCACUCUUAACACUCCAUCUGCAGUGUUAAAUCCAUCUGUUGCUGAAAAUAUGACUAUAUCUUCAAGGGUUUCUGAAUCAUCAUGCUGGUACCUUUUAACAUAAUUAUAAUGAAGAGUGAUAUUCAUUAUCCAGCGGAAAUUAGAAACCUAUAAAUAAGAGGGGAGGGGAGCAAGGGAAGGACUGAGGGCCAGCAUUGCCCAUUCUCACAAUUGAUUGCUUUGCCUGCUCCAACUUAAAAUAUUGCUACGGACACUGGACUUGGCACCAUCAGCUCCACUGGUUUCACUGAUGCUUCCCAGUGCCUACCAAGGGGACCCAGUCCCUCGGUUUAUUCUGUGAGAUGGAUGUAGGCAAGGCAGCAGGUGUCAAUGUGGGUGUAUGGAAGCAGCAAAAACCUGAGUGCAUCCCACAGCCCAAGUUUCCAAUGGGGCAGGACUCCAUCUUUGGCAAGUCCUCACCUCUAGGAGGAGGAAUGAGCACUGAACUAGGUCUGUGUACCAUGGAUAUUACCAGUGGGAUGGCAAGGGGAAAGCUCCAGACAUUGCUGUCUUUGGAGAAUACUGAAAGUAGAGGGUGCUGUUUCUAAACACUUGGUACAAACUAACAGAAUAGAUGUGUCAGGUUUUAAUGCAUAUAUCUUUGAUGUUUUAAAGUUUCUUUAAUACAUCAACAGCUGGUUUAAAUGUGACUGCAGGUAAUAGAAGGAAAAGCUUGGCAGAGUCUUCCCUCAUCUCUGUUCCCCUUGACCUCCUUCCUUCCCCUCACUAGUAUUCCAGAUCACUAAAUCAGAAAGCUUCCUUUUAAUAUAUAUAUAUAUUUUUAAUGUAAACUAUCAUAUACCAUUAGGCAGUUAAAGAUAGGAUGUAGGCUUCACUUUCCCCCAGAUCCCACAGCAGAGCAGUUAUUCUUUAACCCUGUGUAGUAAUCGGCAACAGAUGAUUUUAUUUUAUUUUUUUUAAAGAACCCAAAUUCAGCAACUGAUUUUAAAAUCCUACUUGUCCUAAAGACUAAGCAAAGCUCUCUCCUCCAUGGCAAGUCCAUGCAGUUCAGUGGACUUGGGCAGAGGAGGUUCCUUAAGAAGAAAAAUAUUUCAGAUCCUCAUGAGAGCAUUAAGCAAAGUUGUACUUCGUUGCAGUCAGAGGGACCCUACCAGGGUCCUACUGGCACACCAGUAAAUCUGUGGGAUUCUCUGAGCUGGAAUAGAUGCCCUGAUGUUAAGCCAGUGUACCCAGGCUCCUGAAACAGGCUUAUUCUCUCACUUCCCAGUUUCUGCCCUACAAAUUCAAAACCUUGAAACUCAUUUCAGUAGCUCCAAAGGCUCUGUAAGUCCUUAUUUUGCAGCUUAACAAGACCGCCUGGAAUCUAAUUGGCAUGAGUAAUGUCUUAUUUGUCAAACUUGCAGGACUGAAAUUGGAUGAAAGAUCAUUCAGACUCGCACAGGGUUUUGACCUGUCACCAUGAAUUUAAGUAGCAAGUAGAAAAUCAGUUUGAUUAAGUAUUUCUUCCCACUGUACUGCUCAUAAAGUACAGUCCCCUCCACUGAGUAAAACAGAAAGCAGAUAAUGUUAAUCUCUCUUGGCCUCUAACACUGGUGGGAACGAAAAUCUUCCUUAAUCUUCCCGUUCCAGAAAGGUUUUUGCCUCUAUCCCUACAUUGCCACCUUCUGACAGAUGCAAGCAUAGCAUGGGGCCCAUAGGAAGCCACAGAAUACCCACGGGGGCAUAAGUUUAUGAAAAAGUAGUCUUGCUUCUUGGUUUGACACAGAGAUUAAAACAGAAAAAUAAAAACAACAUACCAAAACCCAACAACCUACAUGAAAAGGAAAGGGCUACCUGCUUCCAUCCAAGGCUAUCAAAUCAGAAGUGAAGCUGCUGUGACUGCUCGGCAAUACAAAGAUGUUUUUCUCCUUGACAUUUAAAGCAUGGGUUGGGUGUUACCCUGCAGGGCUGGUUUUCCAGGCUGAUAAGUUACUAGAAAGAAGCUUUCUCAUCUACAAAAGAAAUCCACAGUGUUAAUAGCCAAAGGUGCAUAGUUAAAGAGUGGCUUUGAGAAAGGUCAGAACAAGACCAAGAAAAAGAAAAGCAGUAUAAAUGAAUUUCAAUGCUCCUACAAAAAGUGAAAAUGGGCUUGGAGAUUUAAAGAAAAGAAAAAAAAAAACAUUAAAAAGAAAAGGAAAAAGAAAACAGAAGUAUAGCAAUUCAACUACUGAUCUUACUAAUGAAGCCAUGGUUUUCAUUGUUAUUUUUGGAAUAUAAUUGGUGAUCUUUUUCUAUUUGUGAGCUGACAUAGAUCUCAGAAGUUAUUAGAACUACAUGAAAAAUGUAAUAGAACAAACUCCACAAGGAACACAUUCAAUGAAUAAUUUUCAUUCACGUAGAAAAUACCAGACUGGCUAUAUUGAAGGAACACAAGAACCCCACACAAGCUUUAUACUCUGGCUUUGACAAGAACUUGCUUACCAACUGAUAUUAAUGCAAGAACACCUCACAACUAGUCAGGCAGUGAGUGUGUGAAGAAAACCACAUAGCCUAUCACACAGCAAGGGUAAUGGCAAACCUGAGCUUUUCAGGCAACACAGUGGAAAGAUCUCACAAAGAUGGAAAACAUUGCAUGCAGUGAAUUUUCCUACCACUGAGUCAAGUUCUUCUAAUGCUUUUAUUUGUGACCUGUCUCCAUGGCUGAAAGUCAAGAAGAUGACAGUGUAUGUUAGAGCCAAGUAGGAUCACUGAUUAAUCCCUACAGAGCUUGGUCUACUCAAGGACCGAGGUUCCAAUUGCAGCCACAUCUAUCUCUAGGUCACCGGCAGAAAACCAUACACACAGAGUGAGCCUGGGCCCAGUGCUCUCUGAGGAUGGAUGCCAGCACACUAGUAGGAAACAGAAACAUCGGAGUCAGGUACAGCUCACCCUUUUCAUUUUCUAGUGAUGAACGUGAUGUUAGGCUCAAUGAUUUGGCAUGUAAGCCACAAAUCAGUGAUGUCAGAUGUUCUUGUUUACCUGGAUGAUGUCAGCUCAGAAGUAGCAGGGCUUCAGUGCAUGGUUGGUUGUUAGGCUGAAAAAUUAGCAUCACUCACACUGUAAAAUCUGUAAGAUGGAAAAAAUAGAUGUUAGAUCUUUUCCCUAUCACCUUAUAAAGUGUAAUUCAGCUCAGCAGUUUCAUACUCAUCCAGGAGAAGUGUGAGAGAAACAACGUAGUAACUGAAGACAUGCAUUAAUUGUCUGGAGACUCAGUGUCUGGAAAGCAGAGGUGAUGCCUUGUGAUGGUGCAAGUCGCUCUGACAGCAAGUUGUUGUGUAGUUCCAGGAACUCCCCCAGCAGUUAGACUUCUACUUGUCUAACACAUCAGUCUUGAAGAUGGCUUAAAAAUGGAGAUCCAGCAUACAGUAUCUGAUCACCAACUGGUUCUGACCUGCUGCUCCCAUUUCAGCUCUCAGUUCAUCAGUCCACGAGAAUUCUCUUUCAGUGCUUUUUGUUUUUGCAGUGUCUUGACAUUACUAUUCAUUUGCUGUAUUCAUUUCAGCAUUCCAAAGAAACAUGCAAAUGGAAUUGGCAUACCUAAAGAAAAGAGAAGGAAAAGUUAGUUGUGGGACAGUUUUUAGGGUUUUUUUUUUUUUUGCUUAUAUUCUCACACAGUUUCACACUAGUGAAAUCCCAGAGCAACUCAGCUAAUUUUAAUCAAGUUAUUAACGUAAAACAGGAACUGUGCAUAUCAAGCAUCAUGUCACUUUUAUUACUGAUGAGUGGCUUUGGCCAUCAUCUCACUCUCCUGCUCUGCAAUAUUCUUCUGCAUGGCCUUCAAACCAUUUGAACGUUGCAUCACUUGAACCGGACUCAGAAGACAUCAGCAUAGGUGUUUCAGGAGGAACCAUCUCCUUUCCGCAUGGUUGGUGAUGACACCAUUCACCAGGAGUGGUAGGCCAUCCUCUUUAUGCAGGAUGGCAAGGGGAAACUUCUGCCUAAUGCUUUACCCUCCAUCAAAUAUUAACACAGUGUAAUCCUUGGUUGUGUCACUGUCAUUGUGCUAGUAGUAAGCAACAGCAUGCUCAAUGGUUUUUAACUGCGCACUUGAAGCUUUUGCCUCCUGUUAUAUAAAUGCAGGGAGAAAGUUACCAUGUGCUCUUUCUAUCAAAAUAAAUUACCGAUAACAUUUUCACGUUUAAGCAGAUAAGACACAUGUCUUCUGUUCACUGCGUAAAGGCUGAAUCCACUUAAAACCAACAGGAGCCUUUUCAUCCACUUCAGUGAACUUCUGCUGAGUUUCCAAAGAAGUGACAUGGUUAUUCCCCCACUCUCAGCUAUACAUUGGACUGUUCUUAGUAACUUGCCUGAACUCUGUGUACUCUCACUUCAGAAAUCGCAGAGCAUAUAUUUUGUUUUUCCAAAGAACUUCUGUUAUUCUUUCUAUGUAAUAUACAAAAGACUCCAUCCUUUCUCAAGAAAAUUAGGAGGAUAAGUCCUGCAAGAGAAACCAUGCUUAGAUUUUGUAGGCACUGGAUUGCCAACAGUUUAACCCCCAUCUGCCACAAUACACCUCACAGUGUGAUAAGUCCAUAUCAAGGACCUUGCAUCACCAAGAGCUGUACAGUCUCCCCACUGUCAUUUGCAGCAGCUUGUAGGGUGUCUUACAUGAUAGGACAUGACUGUCCUACUAUGUAACUGUAAGAUGGUGUGUCACAGAGGUCAGGAUUGGCAUUACACUUCAAAAAGAUGUAUGCAGCAGAAUACAAGAUGUGAAGCUCUCUUAAAUUGACUGUUAGCAGCUGAUUUGGAGAAGGGGGGUUUUAUAAUGUUUCUUGAGCCUGGAGGAACCCUCCUGUUACCACACCAAUUAAUGUUGAGUCUGAUACCACAACACUUUCCUGUGUCAAGGGAAUUCUCACAGUGUUCAUUCACGCAGCAGGAGUGGAUGAGCACCAGCAUUCCCCAUUUAGGCGUCCUGUUCUCUGUGUGCCAGAGCUGCAGUUGUGGGUCCUUCCAGAGCAAGAUGCUAAGCAGAUGAUUUGACUUCAGGGUAGAAAUGUUACUGAAAACCAGAAAGAAACAAAAAACAUGUGCAAUCAGCCCCCAGACUGGUGGAUUUCAAAGCUUAUUUUUUCCUUAUUUCUGUGUUUCUGAUCAUCUGUAUUGUGACUAGGAAAAGGUGGAAGAGUAGGGUAAUGAUAACAGAGAGGAAAACCGCAAAGUACAGACAGAAAACUAUCAGAAAAGCAAUGCACUGUUCCAUUUCUUUCACAUUUUCAUCAAGGAAAGAAUUAUUACUAUUGUUUUAAAUACCGUCUUGUUUGGUACUACUUUCAGAGUGCUCCCAGCUGAAAAGAUCAUAUUUAAAUAAAAGAUUUCUUCUCAAAGUUUCCAGGUAAGUAUGCACACAUGAAACAGCCACUGGGUUUGUGUUAUCCUGAGAGAUCACCACAUCAUAAAUGCCAACAUCCCAUCCACAAUAACUGAUUCUUUCAGAGUACUUAAGCAGUCUAAAAGACCUCAAGGUCUUAACGCUUCCUUGUAUUCUCACUCUGGAGCUACAAUUCUCUUGACUUGUCUCUACAGCAAUGUUUCUACAUUGCUAUUUUUUUUUUUCCCCCUCAAAUCAGCACAUGGUUUCUUGAAAAGAGAAAAGAGUCCAGAAAAAAAUAUAUGUAUUUUCCUUUUCAACUGAUCCGGGAGGCUCUGGAAUCGUAUCUGAAUUUUCCACAUCCUUAAAAGUUCUUGGGGAUUCCUUUCUGACUAGUAGGAACUAAAGGCACAAAUAUUUUGAAACAUCUAUAGAACUCUAUAGAACUGUAACAACAGUAACACAGAUGGACGGAGCAGUGACACUGCAAGUUCAGGUAGCAACAAGCCAUAUACACUGACAUUUACCUCCAAAAAUCUCAGGCAUUUCAAUGCUCAAAAAGCUUUAAGCAAUAAAGCAUUUAUUGUUUAAUCCUCAGAAAGCUUCAGAGUUUAGCCUUGAUUAGUUAGAAGACUUGACUAUCAGUAAGUAAAUAAAUACACAACUCAAUUGCAGUGAGGUAGCUGCACUAGCACAAUUAGCAUCCAUAAAGAAGAACCAUGACAAAGGUGUAUUUUUUAAAACACUGAUCAGACUUCACACAAAGCCAUAACCUCUCUAUCCCAAAAGUACCUGCACAGACAUAUUAACAUGCACUUGAAAGCACUGUCAGCUCACACAUUUCAAGCAUGAUCAUACAUAACCCUUCACACUCAUGUUCCACCAAACCUUUGGAGCAUCGGUCUUCACACUUCCUUUGAAAAAUGGGCUGCAACAGGAGAACUGCUCACGAACACAUUAUCAGUUGCUUGAAAUGUAGCCUAACAAAACAAGCAAAACAAACACUCCCAGAAAGAUUAAUGCAGCACUUGCUGACUUCAAGCUUGCUUUGGAUGUAGUACAGCAGCCCUGGCUGCAGACAGCCAGGCUCCAUUACUUCAUCGUCCUGUCUCCCAGGGUGAGACACAUCAGGUGGCAGGUAGCAGCUCUCGUAUCAGACACAUCCUGCUGACUGAAGGUGGUAGUGUUCUAUGCACGGUUCUCCAAAUGGGUGAAGUAUCCUGCAGCAGGUGGCUAGCAACAUGCAGCAUUAGCUUGUCCUUUGGCAUUUCUUCAGCACCUUGAACCACAGCUGCAAGUGUACAAGGAUGUACUGAUCAGUUUGUAAGAUGAACACAGUCAUAAACACUACUUGGUGAUGUGUUUGGAAUAGCUCCCUUUAUCAGGACAUAAAUCAAAAUGUUUUCUGAUUACAAAUAAGAAAACACAGCGAGUCUUUUGCAUACAUAUUAGCAGAAUAAUUUGGAUUCGCCCAGGCAAGUGCGUGCACGUGUGCAAGUGUGUAUGGAUAGACAUCAAACAAUUCUUAUAUGCAUCGACAACUUACUGUGAUAAUGCCAUAGAAUUAACAGUUAAACACAACAAUUAUCUUCAAAUCUUUGCCUCAGACAGUCAAUAAUCCUGUCCCACUUGUUGUUGCUGGCAAAAUUCCUACUCAAAAGGCGGGACUGUCUAUUAAACUUUCAAGCAGCCACGCAAAGAAGGGUGGUACACAGGUUAACACAGAUGCACAGAGCAAUCCAAUCAAUAAUUUGCCAGAUUUGGGGCUCUUUUUUUUUAAAUAGUUAUGCCAGUUAAAUGUAGGAAGGCACGGCAUGCAUGAUAAACCCUGGAAAACUUCAAAAGCCAUACUUCAAAAACCAUUCACAUUUGAAUAAGUUACAUAUCAAUUACUGCUAAGGUAGUUCUGAUGGAUCACUCUGAUAAGAAACUUCUGCUUACCACAAUUAGCAGAUAACCCCGCUAAUGAAAGGAGAAAGAGGAGUUGACAACAUGUCCUUGAGAAGAUGUGGGUUUGUACCUUCAAGCAUAUGCACAGGGCUUCUACCAAACCUUACCAGUGGUGGCAUUAAGUGAUGAGCAACUCCAUAGAAAAAGAAUUUGAAAGGAGUUAAGAAAUUUGAAGUUAAAAUAUUUUAUCCCGGAAUAAAAGUGUUUCUCCUAGGAAAUAUUGCCUCUGAUGUCUAUAUUUCCCACUUGUUACUGUUACUCUGCCCUUUGCAAGGGAGAUAUGCAUCACAGGAAUACUUGAUGAAGAUGGUUUUUAUUUGAAAAAUUUUGGCCAGUGUCACAUGGGAAACAUCCACAGUGAUGUACGUGGGUUAAGCAAAUCCCCCUUGUACAAUAUUUUUAAGUGCUCACUUUGACUGAAUUCAGAUUUGAGUAUUGCUAUUCCCAUGAAAUGGGGUCAUACGUUGUUGCAGAAAGAAUUAACAUCCACUUAAAAUCCCAGAAAGGGUGAAAAUGUUCUGAUCUUUACUUUUGUUGUUAGUCUUCAUUGUGCAGGUUUCUGGUUAUAAACACCCUUUGAAACAUUGCCUUUAAACAAUUCUUAUGUGAAUAUAACUACUUUGAUCACUGGUAAAAAAAAGUAAUAUGUCCAAGGAGAAGUCUAUACUUAUUUUGUGUCUCAAAAUCCAUUUCACAUCAGCUUUGUUCUAUGGCUUUACAACUGCUCAGUAAAGAAAUCUGCCAAAUGCAGAACAAACCCAGAUAGAAACGUAAACAGUGGUAAGGCUUCAUUAAUAAUCUAUAUAAUGUUUUUAUAACAAAAGGUUUGAAAUACAAAAAUAAGUUUAUCCAAACACAUACUGGUUUUAAAAUUAGUCACCUUUCCUUCUGCUUGCAUUUUGCAGAUAUUCAGGUAAAUGCUUCUUCUCCACUGCCACUGCUUUACCCAAAGCAGUAAGCAGUGUCUCUGGAGACAUGAUCCAUGUAGGCAGGCUGUACCUGGCCCAACACCACCACACGUGAAGAUUGAGAUGCUUCUGUCCACUCUGUUAUGCGUGCCAAAGAAAUUCAGGAACUUGCAGGGGCAUUUUUCCAAAGUGAGCAAUACUUGAGUCCAGCUUCCUUGUACAUAUGGGAGGAAGUAUUUCUAUGGUAGUCUACCAUCCAGUAAACCUGCAAGCAGAGGAUUUAUUGCACUUGAGAUCAAGAAGCCUUGUGUUUGAUCAUUUAUACAGUCGUUUAUGAAUGAAUGCAUUCAGAGCCCAGCUUCAGCACACUCAAAAAAUUCAUAGAUGCAGCCAAGAACAAUACAUUGAAAGUUUGUUAGAGACCAGAUCCUCUGCUGGGGUAUGUCAAAUGGUAACUUUGUAGACUUUGGGGGGGAAAACAACAGUUUACACAAGCUAAAAAUUCAACUUCUUGCACACUGAGCUUCUCUGUAAACAGUGCUUUGGUACACAUCUGUGAGCCAGAUAAUAAAUGCUUCAGAUAAAUCACUGGGAAGUUUACAGAGCUCCACACACUCACACAGAUUUUCAGCCAUAUAGCAGAGGCCAGAAGUCAGCAUUGAUUACUUCUCUGUAGCUACUAGCUAUUAUAGAUAUCAAAGCCACACAAAUGUGGACAAUUUCUUAAAGCACUGUGUUGUAUUUCUGAAGAGCUCUCUGAGACCUCUGCAAAUUUCAGUCUAUGGUUAUGGGAUGGAUAUAUGAGCCCCAUGGUCAAGUACAGCUAGAUAUUCCCACUGAGACUUGAUACGUCAAACACAACUGCCAGAACACUGCUCCAGUAAAUCAGCAGAUGCACAAUGCCUAUUUCCCACAGCAAGGACUCCCUGUGAUCCUACACCUCAUAUUGGCAUGGUUUAUCCCAGCACUAGGAGGGCAUCCACAAAUUACUGGUACUAUAAAAGGAGUCUUUCAUAAAGCCCAAACAUUUGUGAUUUUAGUUUACACGGAAGUCCUGGUCAAGUGGAACUAUCCAAGCACAACAGCACUUACUGAGGACUUCUCUAUGACUGUUGGCUAAGGGGUAAUUUAAGAGUGCUGUUAUCACAGAGGUUACAAAAAUAUAGAGCUGAGGUUUUUCAGGACAUAAAACAUGAGCUAAUGGACAGCCUCCAACGAUGGAGAGCCUCUGAGAAACCUGGAUGACAACAAAGGCAAAAAUCUUCAACCUGGUAUUAAAAGACACUAGUGGGCAUUGCCCUAUAAAGGAUUGUUCAUUGAUCCAGCACAACUUACUGGGCUUAAAAUGGUAAGUUACUUUUCACAACUGUGACCCCACCUAUAAACUCUCAGCCUCACGCUGUCUUCUUCCAAACACUAUCAGCCAUCAUCAACAUACUUAUCUUUGCCAGACAAAAAAUGGCUAUCUAACUUCUGUUAUGAUAAUUGAUAAUAAUAAGCUGGUAAAGGAAAAGAAUCAUUAUUUCAUCAGCCAAAUCAUACAGUGCUACUGGAGAGGCACCUGAAGUUUUGCUUACCUAAGUAUGAAAGGCUCAGUCCAUGCUAAAAAAAAAAUUGUACGUUUUAAUGUAACUUUCAUAUCUUAAAUCCAUUUGAACAUCUACAGAAUAAUUGUUUAAGAUAGGAAAUAAACAGGGAAGAAUUGUCUUUGUACAAGUUAUUUUAUUAAGGACAUGAAUAUUAAUGUCACUGGGUACACCAAACCCUGUGCAACCAUGGAAACUAUUGCAUGGGAUCCAUUCAGUCCCCAUAUCUGAAAUGUGGCCUAUGGUUGCUAUGAGAAGAUAUAGCACACACCCCUCAGUUGUUCCUAUUAGGCAGCAAUAUUUAGGCUCUAUUGUGUAUUUGUCUCUGCUUCAUCUCAGCAUAAACUAUGUUUGGAACAGAGGUUAAGGAGAAGGGUUCAAGAUCUGAAAGCAUAUCUUUUGGAUUAAUCUAGGAAAUCAGAUGAUCCUUCACAACAACUCAGGGUUUAUUUGUGACACUAACUGGUAUCUGAGAAGGUAAAAAAUAUUAUCACCAAUUUAACUUGGAGAAGUUAAGGAUUAAUUUAUAUUCCAGGAGCAUAUAUGUAUUCUUUUCAAGCUCAUCCUCAGCCUAGAGUAGUUGCAGACAGCCUACAGGAAUCAGAGAUAAAGAAACACUCCAAAUACAUUCUGGAAUUAAGAAAAAAAAUCUAUUGCAGUGCAGAAAUUUGAAAAAAAAUACAUAGAUGCACACUUCCAGCAAACUGGUAAACUUAUGAUUCUAACUCUCAUUUAAUCUGUAUUUUUUUCCUCACUCCAAGACCAAUUCUUCUAGGAACAAAUAAAAAAAUAUGUCAACUUACCAUAAUAAAGCUUGAAAAUCAAGCAGAAGUCUUCUGGAAGGUUUAGGAACUCUCACAGUUCAGAGAAUAUCAUCCUCUACCAGUGUGAGCCAGGAAAACAUCUUCCCUGUGCAACACAUGUAACUUACCUACACCAGUCCUUGCACUUUUGCUUCAAAAGACUGCUGGCCACAGGCUGAGGUGAAUUAAUAAGUCGUUUUUCAGCAGAAACUUGCGUGAAUAAAUGCUAUUUCCAAGCAUGUAAAAAAAAUCAGGUGAGAAAAACACAAAUUCUCCUUAAUUAAUAACCAUUUAAAUGCCAGUAAUCUCUUUGGAGAGAAUAAAUUAGUUUAACACAAGACACUGCGCAGCUGGAGUGCAGCCCAGGAAAGCCAGUCGUACAGCAUCUCAGCACCCCCAGGCAAGUGAAGUGGGUUUUGAGGCCUCAGGAUUGCAAGGAGCAGAGAGCAUCCUGUGAGCACAAAACUGCUCCAGGCUCUUCUUUUAAAAGCUACCUUUAAACGAAAUGAACAGAAAGACAGCAUCAGCACAUAACAUAACCAUGAAGCAGUUUGUGCAAAUGCGGGAAGCCUGAGAGAGCUCCUCCACCAGCUCCUCUUCAUACCACUGCAACUCAUCCCUCCUGGGGAGAGAUUUCCCAUGGCCAACUUGACCAAGGAUGGCCAGGUCUGACACCCCACAGGACAAUCACUCACCUGAGGCAUUCCUUCUUUUCUCAACUGUCAGUGUCCCCAGUUCAUUUAAAACCACAUCUACCUUGUGGGAUUCACUUUCUUUGGGAACAUGGAGCCGUGGUUCAGUUUCAGGAACAUGCACCAUCUGUCCUCUUCCUGUGCUGAUGCCUUUAUUCCUUGAGACAAGUUUUGCUGCUUCUACAUAUUCAAGAUGCACCAGAAAUAUCAGAAUAACCAACUUGAGAAAAGCGAGCAGAGCUUCCAUCCUUUGAGUCCAGGUGCCUUCAGCAUUAAUUUCUGUGAACUAAGGCAAGAGCAGCCCUUCUGCAUAAAAAGGACUUAAAUAACUGCUUCCAGCUCCACAGCUUUCAGGAGGAAUUUUCCUUCAUAUUUUAAGGUACCUACAAGAGUGACCCAUUUUCCUCCAGGCUGCUGCAGGUGCUCCUUGCUCCGUAUCACACAGCAGCCAGCGGAGCAUCUUGCGGGUGCUGCAGGGUGCUACUGCAGUGCAGGUCAGCAGCUCACAUGACAUGUGUCCAACAGAUGGAGAUCAUCCCCUGGCAUGCAGGCAGGCUAAGGUAGGUCACCCUAUGUGGAGAACAUGCUAAAGGGAAACAGUGCUCCACAACAAAAUCAGAGCAGUCCUAAGCUGCCUACCUGAAGCUGUUCAAAAAAACAUGUAGCACUGGAAAUGCUGUUUGUUGUGGAAGCAACCAAAAUCACAGAACCUAUUAAAUGAGUAGCUUGAGUAAUUGAUAGCAAGGCAUAUUCCUUCCCUCACAUUCAUUUAGAAGUGCCAUUAUUUCAGAAAACUCAAGCUCUGUGCUCCGAGGACAUUUUCCUGUGCUAAGGAGGGUUUCUAUACCUACAAAGGACUUCACCCAAAGCCCAGACUACCAGCAUCACAUCCACAACUAACAUGCCUCCUUAGGAAAGUGUCCCCUAAAUUCUGGUGUCACAUCAUUUUCCACAUAUGAUUUCUCCAGGUAUGAUUACGAUGCCCACAUCCUACUCCUGGAUCAGGUUUUGUUCUUAUCAAAUGAAGCUAACAGUCCUUAAAUGAUUUCAUUAAAGUGCUUUAGGAAAAGUUUACCUGAGAAACACCUCAUUUACAGAUGGUAGCAAAUCCCUCAACCUGGGCACUUGACUUUAAUUUACAAAAAUUCUUAGGAAAAGUAGAUGUUUGGUAAGAGCAGAGUGAUGUUGGGUGACAGUCAGGGCUGGCAGGACCAAUGUCACACUGGUUCAAACCUCAGCACAAUCCUAAAGCACCGGAGGAGUCCUGGGCCCUGUUUUGGGAGCACCUCUGUUGUCAUCACACAGCAUUUGGGGCAAAGAACUGCAGAGAAGGAUGAGCCUCUCACUAGUGCAUCAGUACUUUCAGCUUUGGGAUAAUACACAUCACAAACACCGCUGUAAGCCACACUGAGGAUGGUUCUGAUCCCCAAGGAUCGCUGUGCUCGCUCAGGGCCGGUGCUAUUUAAAAGACAGCUCUGCUGAAGCUUCUAUUUGCAGCAUGAAGAAGUGAACGUUACCAGAUAUAGCCUUAAGGUUUCAGAGUGUGAAUUACUGUGGUGACAUGCUGAAGCAGAGAGAAAUGGCAGUGACCUGCAAGCUACUGUUUGUCAGCAUAUUAACCCAUUCAUACGCACUACAGUGCAUGUGUCUCGUGGGUAAGAUCAUACCCCACAUGUCACUGUGUGCCCUACUUCAAGUAAGCCCUCAAAAUUUUGGCCCAUUGAAGCAUACAAAGAAAUAAUUUCAAACCACAAAAACCAAGAGUAGAUUUGAACCAAGAGCUAUAUUCAAUCCUCAUAUAUUUUUAAUAAUAGAGACAUUCUCCUACUUUCUACAUCAAACUCAUACUGCACAAAACUGCAUUUAUCUACACUGCAGCUACGAAUACCGACAGGAAGACAACAUGAAGAAUCUCCCAUGUUUAGAGACAGAACUGUCCUUAGCACUACCAUAAUAGUACUCAGGUAACAUGGGAACUUUUGUUGGUUUUCUGAUUCGCCCUAAAAACCAGCACAUUUCCUCAGAGUAGUCAGACAGUCUCUAUUCUACACAAGAAGACCAAAGCUCUACUGAAGACAAAUAAACUUUUUCCUGUUAGAUGCAAGUAGAACCAAGAUUUCAGCCAGCGUUAGGCCUUUACAUCCAAGCGGGAUUCAGCCAUGCAUUUAGAUUUUAAUGUCUAAGUUACAAUACUCUUAGAAAUCACACAUAUUUCAAAUAUCACAUCACUAUGUACGUAUUGCAAUUGCUACACAUGUCCCAGGUUCAAGCAGCUCCCACUUAUAUGUCUACCAUGUCCUACGUGCAUCUUUAGGCUCUCAGAGCUAUGUGGGUAAUAAGAAAUAUUAGUCAUAGUAACUUAAAAUUUAGGCCUUCACAACUUGGCCUACAGAGCAUCUUAGAAAUGCGAUACAUUUACAUGUGAUAGAUGGAUGUGAUAUAUUAAACGCACCAUCUCUUACUGUACUUAAAUGCUGAAAGCUAGCAAUAUCAAGAUAGAUUUAUGAUUUCCCCCAUCCUCUAACUGGUGGUGAUCAAACAGUACUGCUCAAUUUAGAUCAUUUAACUUACGUUUUUGUUCAGUUGGCCGUUAAUGUAUGUUUUAGUGUAUUUUUUUUUUAGUUCUAGCAAAUUGUAUAGAAGCAGACAAAUCACAAAGUUGCCUGACUGCUUAUUGCAUCUUUUUCAGAACACAUUGGUAUAUCUCUAUUCUGGAGAAUAUUUCACAGUUCAGUGAUGGAAAAUAGUUUGCACUUCAUUUGUGCAUGUACUAAUUUUAGAUUAAACAGGACCACAUAAAUCCUGCUGAAAAAUGGUGCAAUUAAGCCAGACCUAUUUGUAAAAAGGACAAUACGUGGCUGUAAUUAUAAUGACUAAACAUUUGGUAACACAUUGACUUAUUAGUGUGCUAACAGGAAUUUGUGCAACAUGCUGAGUAGGUCUCUACACGAAUAAAUCUUAAUAUUUCCUCAAAAGCCAUUAAAAACAAUUUUCUAUUGCAUUUGCAUUUCUGAUCAGCUUCUACAGUGAUCUGCUUUAUCAAAAUGGCCACUUUCAUUGUAAGCAUAGUACUAAGCAUGCUCUAUACUUCCUGCUAGGGCAUAAAGUUAUCCCCAGUUAGUCAGUUGGUUUUAUUUCAGAGCAAAAUUGUUAUCCAAGAAUGACUGAAUGAUUGGCAUAUACAUCAAAGCUCACAAGUAUAUCUGUUUCAAGUGACCAGUAUCUGUAAAGAUUUACAGAGCUUGUACUUCAUGAUGCUCUUGCAGUUUAUAUGAGGAUUUAGAUUCCUACACUUUUUGUAAUAUCACAGAACUAUCAUGGUCUUCACCAAAACAGCUUGGCUACUAGCACACAUGCAUUCCUGUGUACCUAUACAAGGCCACAGAAACUAUGCCCACAGUAACCUUAUGACACCAAGUAAGGGAACAAGCUAAAUUUAGCUUCAUUUUUUCCUGUUUAUAGCCAAAUUCAUCUGCCUUCAGUCUUUGCUGUGGAAACCCACACUGUUGUGUAAGCAUUCCUGCUUCACCCUGCCUAUCUCUCCCUCUUUCUUUGUGCUAAGUGAUAUAUGGGAAGGAAUUGUAUGCUUGAGACCCCCAGUCAGUAUGCGCAGUGCCCAAGCAAAGUGAAGGGGCCCAGCUUACCCCAAGACACUCCCCAGGAUACAAUGGGCCAUCACUGAUGCCAACUCUAACCUUUGCAUUCAGCCAAAGCCACUGAAAACUCAAUUACACAAAAGGUGAGUUGGAGGCAAGACAGGGCUCAAAUAUAGGCUGAAGUCUAUAUUCAAAGAGCAAUACAUACAUACCAAAUGUCCUCUUCAGACACUCUCGUUCCACCAAGUUUUUUUAAGGGUGCUACGGAUGAUGCACGGAGGCACGGAGAUUAAUACAGCACUUCCAGUCACCCGUGGAAUAUUUAAAUGUAGAAAAAAAAAAAAAAAAACCUAUAUGGGAGACUUUUUUUACCUUCCCAUUCCUAGUCUUUCUGAUUCUCCUCUUUAUUCUCCAACCCUACAUAAAAAACUUAUUUUCAUAGUUCUAUGCCUUUCUCUGAACUAGAUCAGAAAAUCCCUCUCAUCUACAAAGGACUCAUUUCCUUCAGAAUUAAGACACUGAGUCAGUUGUUUCCUCAGAUCCAGUGACCUUUCUCUACUAGCUGGGAGGCUUGAUUUUUUCACAGGAGACCACAUAAUAUAAACAUAAUCAGUCCUUUCAUAUCAUGUAGCUCUUAGCUUCAGCAGGGGCUUCCUUACUUUGAGAUUGUUCCUUCUGAUAACUCCCUCUAAAGGAAGAUCCAUCCAUUGGAGGGGGAAAAAAAAAAAAAAAAAGAAGGAAAAAAAGAAAAAAAAAGGCCUUUAAAUGCUAACAUUCAUUCACUGCCACUAAAUGUGCACCUGUGUCUUGUCAUUUCAAAAUUAAUAUAAGCUGAGAUACAUGAUCCCUUUUGGUAAUUAACACAGUCCUCUCAGAGUCCCCUUUCCCCUCACGCUAAUUAGCACAGAAAAAAACCUCACGCAGACAAACAGACAAAAUAGCCACAGGACUCCACUGUUGAGCAAAGCACUUUCAGGGGGAGAAGGGCAGAGCUCUGUGUCGGUAAUUUUAAACACCUGACUGCCUGAAGCAUGCAGGUGUGAAAGAAAUGUUGACGAAGUGAUGCAAGCCUUUAAAAAUGCCUGAAAAUUCUCAAUCCUCAUUAGCGGUAUGAAUAAUUUAUCAGCAGCCCCACAAACUGGGGAAGGGAGAGUCUUGUGCUCUACUUGGCUAGCAGUGAGGUUGGUCAGCCACCGAAAGGGGGAGGGGUACAAAAAGUUUCUGAAAAAUUGGAAAUUGCUCUCAAAACACGAUCUUUUCUUGCCAGGGCUUUUACAGAGAUAUCAUAAAGAGACCAGUCCCAGAAGCACGGGGUAUUUCUUCCAGCACAGGGAAAGGACUGCUCAAAGCAUUUAAUGCACUUUGAAGAACUGCGCUUACUUUAAUCUAUCUCUUACUUGGUUUAAAUAACAAGUACAUUAUAUUCGAAAUUAAAAAAAAAUAAAUCAGUAUUACUAGUUAAACAUUCUCUAAAAUGGAUUUCAAAUUAACUUGAAGAAGUUUGAAAAUACUGUAAGGAAUAAAUGUUGCUUUUAAUCUUUCAAAGCCCAAGCUGUAGCAUUACUGUUAUCUUCUCUUGCCAAGUGUAAGAAGCGCGCCGGUCUUUAGGCACCCAGCAGUGUUUCCUGGAAGGGCAAUGAAAGAGUGGAUGGCGAAAGCCUGCCAAAAAGAAAAUCAAAGCCAUACCUGCAAGCUGCAGUACAGUUCUAGGAAUCCCUUCAGACUUUCCUUUUCAUGUGUUUGAAACUGAAACUUUUCAAAAUGCUGGCAUAUGUCCUUAAAAUCAUUUUUACUUCUGAAACCCAAACAACUUGAGUGAGGUGGAGGGGAGGAAGAAAGGGAGAGAAAAGACAGGGUUAAAAUGAAGAAGGGAAGAAGCAGCAUUAAAGGCAAUUGGAUUGUCCUGAAGCAGUCUCUUCAGAGGAAAAGAGCCUUAAAAUGCAGGAAAUCUGUCUAACCCCCUAACCGUUCCCACUCAGGCUGCCCUGCAGUCACAGAUGUUACUGAUUGAGUUAGAUAGCAAUUCCAAGCUCCCAAAACAGAUUCCAAGUGAGAAAAUAGGAAAAGUCCUUGGUUGCUAUUAGAUACGCAUUCUGAAAUAAAAAGGAGUAUGGGCAGGGAGGAAUUUGUGGC